AUUUUGCGUUUAGAUGAAAAUUAGGUUGUUUCUGAAAAUAAGGUAAAUAUUAUUUAGAUUGUUAAAUUGGAACGGAAGGAAUAAAAGUUACAAUUUUAAAUUAAAAAUAAUUUAUAUAAUUAAUUAACAUAAAACUAUUAAUUAAAAAUAAUUUAAUAAAUUAAUAAAUUUUUUAACUAUGAAUAUUAUAUAAGAGAAUAAAAAUAUAUUAAUUAAUUAAUUAAAUAUAAACAUAAUUUAAUUUUUAAUUAGUUAGUAAAUUAUUUUAAUUAGAUAACUAACAAAAAAAUUAUUUAGAUAAUAAAAAAUUAAUGAUUGAUCAAAUAUAAAUAUUAGUUUAUGAAUAAACAUAUUAAAUUAUUAAUAAUUAAUUAGCUAAUUAAUUAUAAUUUAUUUAUUUAUUUAUUUAUUAUUUUAGCAAAGGAUAAUGAUUUUAAUAUAUUAAUUAGAUUAAUUAAUAAUUUAAUAUCAUAAUUAAAAUUAAAUUUAGACUUUAACUAAGCUUAUUCUCCAAUUGGGAAUAAGUUUGUUCUAGGAAAAAGGGUGGAACAGCAAUUCGAAACUUAUAUCAGAUUAUACCGGCUUAUUGAUCCAGAGAGUCGAGAAUUACUGUUAUCGAGUACCAAAAAUUACGUUUGGGAACAAAGGAGAAAAAUAAGGGCUUAUUCCCUCUCUCAUUCCCAAACCAAACGCCCCCAUAAUGAAUAAUAAAAAUGAAAAAAAAAAUGUAGAAAGAUCCCUUAUAUUUUCUGGCAAUUAGGUAUAGUAUACUGAACUUUAGUAAAUUGCAUUGU
rnacentral:lncRNA from 1 species